rnacentral:lncRNA from 1 species
CAAUUGUAUGAUGCAGCUGAUACUACUAAAAAACUGCAAAGAGUGGACAAGGUUCCUAAUAGGAGGCAACUCGUGACAAACUAAAAAUAUUGCGAACUAAAUUCCAAUACUGAGAACAAAUACAGGCACAAAAAUAUAAAGAUCACCAAUACAUGAAAGUUAAACUUCCAAAACAAAUUCUGGUUACGCCCAAUAAAAAUCAAGCACACAAGUGAGAAAAAACAAAGUGCCUACUCCAUCCAUACAACUUCAGAAAUCCUAUUUUGACCGGGCAUAUCAGACAACUACGUCCUCAAUCCCAAAUGAAUUGGGUCAGUCAUGUGAGCCAUCUGUAUACCUUUUUCACUAUAUUCAGAGCCUUUCUAGUCAAAUAUUAAAAUAUCCUUUGUUUGUAGAAAACUU